rnacentral:ncRNA from 17 species
CGGACGAAACAGGGGUGUCCCGCUGCCACCGGCACCGUGCCGGCGCAGUGCGCGACUGAGAAACACCCUGGGGCCCUGCGCCCCGUUACCCGAUCCAGGUCAUGCUGGCGUGGGGAGUUUCCACAGAGCAGCA